rnacentral:rRNA from 1 species
GACGAACGCUGGCGGCGUGCUUAACACAUGCAAGUCGAACGGAAAGGCCCUGCUUUUGUGGGGUUCUCGAGUGGCGAACGGGUGAGUAACACGUGAGUAACCUGCCCUUGACUUUGGGAUAACUUCAGGAAACUGGGGCUAAUACCGGAUAGGAGCUCCUGCUGCAUGGUGGGGGUUGGAAAGUUUCGGCGGUUGGGGAUGGACUCGCGGCUUAUCAGCUUGUUGGUGGGGUAGUGGCUUACCAAGGCUUUGACGGGUAGCCGGCCUGAGAGGGUGACCGGCCACAUUGGGACUGAGAUACGGACCAGACUCCUACGGGAGGCAGCAGUGGGGAAUAUUGCACAAUGGGCGGAAGCCUGAUGCAGCAACGCCGCGUGCGGGAUGACGGCCUUCGGGUUGUAAACCGCUUUCGCCUGUGACGAAGCGUGAGUGACGGUAAUGGGUAAAGAAGCACCGGCUAACUACGUG